rnacentral:rRNA from 1 species
CAGCCCUAAACCGAUGCGCGUUAGGUGUAUCGGUGACCACGAGUCACCGAGGUGCCGAAGGGAAACCGUGAAACGUGCCGCCUGGGAAGUACGGUCGCAAGGCUGAAACUUAAAGGAAUUGGCGGGGGAGGCACCACAACGGGUGGAGCCUGCGGUUUAAUUGGAUUCAACGCCGGAAAUCUUACCGGGACCGACAGCAACAUGAAGGCCAGGCUGAAGACUUUGCCGGAUUAGCUGAGAGGAGGUGCAUGGCGUAGUCGUGU